GGAAUAUUGCACAAUGGGCGCAAGCCUGAUGCAGCGAUGCCGCGUGCGGGAAGAAGGCCUUAGGGUUGUAAACCGCUUUCAGUAGGGAAGAAAAUGACGGUACCUACAGAAGAAGGUGCGGCCAACUACGUGCCAGCAGCCGCGGUGACACGUAGGCACCAAGCGUUGUCCGGAUUUAUUGGGCGUAAAGAGCUCGUAGGCGGUUUGGUAAGUCGGGUGUUAAAACUCUGGGCUCAACCCAGAGACGCCAUUCGAUACUGCUAUGACUUGAGUACGGUAGGGGAGUGGGGAAUUUCUAGUGUAGCGGUGAAAUGCGCAGAUAUUAGAAGGAACACCAGUGGCGAAGGCGCCACUCUGGGCCGUAACUGACGCUGAGGAGCGAAAGCAUGGGUAGCAAAC
rnacentral:rRNA from 1 species